rnacentral:rRNA from 1 species
AACGAACGCUGGCGGCAUGCCUAACACAUGCAAGUCGAACGAGAUCUUCGGGUCUAGUGGCGCACGGGUGCGUAACGCGUGGGAAUCUGCCCUUUGGUUCGGAAUAACAGUUGGAAACGACUGCUAAUACCGGAUGAUGACGAAAGUCCAAAGAUUUAUCGCCAGAGGAUGAGCCCGCGUAGGAUUAGCUAGUUGGUGUGGUAAAGGCGCACCAAGGCGACGAUCCUUAGCUGGUCUGAGAGGAUGAUCAGCCACACUGGGACUGAGACACGGCCCAGACUCCUACGGGAGGCAGCAGUGGGGAAUAUGGACAAUGGGCGAAAGCCUGAUCCAGCAAUGCCGCGUGAGUGAUGAAGGCCUUAGGGUUGUAAAGCUCUUUUACCCGGGAUGAUAAUGACAGUACCGGGAGAAUAAGCUCCGGCUAACUCCGUGCCAGCAGCCGCAGUAA